rnacentral:rRNA from 1 species
AUUAAACGCUGGCGGCAUGCCUUACACAUGCAAGUCGAACGGCAGCACGGGAGCUUGCUCCUGGUGGCGAGUGGCGGACGGGUGAGUAAUACAUCGGAACGUGCCCUGGAGUGGGGGAUAACGCAGCGAAAGCUACGCUAAUACCGCAUAUUCUGUGAGCAGGAAAGCAGGGGAUCGCAAGACCUUGCGCUCUAGGAGCGGCCGAUGUCGGAUUAGCUAGUUGGUGGGUAAAGGCCCACCAAGGCGACGAUCCGUAGCGGGUCUGAGAGGAUGAUCCGCCACACUGGGACUGAGACACGGCCCAGACUCCUACGGGAGGCAGCAGUGGGGAAUUUUGGACAAUGGGCGCAAGCCUGAUCCAGCCAUGCCGCGUGAGUGAAGAAGGCCUCGGUUGUAAGAC